UUCCUCCUGCUGUCAUGACGUAAACAAGCAGAGCAUGCGCGCACGGCGGAAGAUGCUCUCGCUCCCGCGGAACGCACGCCUCCCCUAUGGUCACGGACAAGGUAGACAUCUUCCUGGUGCGUGAUGUUUUUACUUCCCUGGUGUUUGCCGCGUGAUGCUCCUGCUUCCCUGCUUUUUGAUGCGUGUUGUUGCUGCUACUAGUACUUUACUACUGUUGCUAAUUUGCCCCUUGAAACUCAAAAGGAACAUAUGAAUUUUGCGACCGAAGCAUAUGUGAUCGGCUGUCCUGUUAUAAAAGUAGUUUUUUUUCUAGCAUCGGGCAAAGAAUCAUAAUGUGCACUCACUUCACCCCAGCAUACAAUCAUUUUAUUUGGGGAAACAUAUACGGAAAUUGAAUAUACAAAAAGACACAUAUUUGUAAAUUUCCAAUAGAGACGCAAUAUGCAAAAACUUCAAAGCGGCCUCAAAGUAUAGGCCUGUACUGCAGGUGGAUUGUGUUCAGAACAUAUAAAACAAGUUGAUAUAAUGGGUAAAUCAUGCUCAAAACAUUUAAAACGAAGUGGGCAUCAACAACCUUCACAUGAUUCGCCAUAUGCUUUAAGUCUGAAUUAAUGGAAAUUGCUUGUUUCAUAAAGCCAUGCUGAUAGCCAAUUUCAACAUUGGAUCACCUCAACUGUGCUUUCAUUUUAGAAGCAUCAGAUUUUAUAGGAGUGGACUGAACCUCUGAUUUGCCUUCUUGCAGAUACAUAUGGAAAUUUAAAUAUUUCCUCAUGCCCAGUGUAGAGUAUGCAAACUUCAUAGUGGAAAUAAAAGACUGACGACACUGACAUUAGUUUUGUUAGUGGAAAGAGGAAAGAGUGAUGCGCGCAGUCCGAAUGCUGGAUUCCGAAGGAAUUGGCCUACUAUUGGUACACUAUCCAAAACAUAAAUGCUAACCCCUCAUUUUCUUUACUGGAAAAUCAUUAGUCUUCAUUAAUAUUGUUAUCCAUCUUUGUUGUUUCUCCAAUUCAACAAAUUCAAAUUAUGGCCUUAUGCUUAGCCAUCCAUUCUUUAUUAUUUGUCUGCUAUGUUAGGGUGUUAAUUCAAUUUAACAUUAUUUUGAGGCACUUCAGUUCAGUUUCCCUUUCAUUUGCCAAGGCUACAUCAAUUUGAUUGUCACUGUAGAGCAUAUUUUAACUGACUACAGUUUGUUUCCCAUGCUGUUUUAUGAUAAAUGUUUCCCCGUUUCAUUGAAAAUCCCCUACCCACUCCCACAGUUUGAUGCUUACUCUUUUUCCGUACAGCCGAGAUGGUCAUAAAUCAGGCUCUUUUCUGUGGCACAACUCUGAGUUACAUCGACUGCUUCAUAUUUUUAGCGUUUUCCCUCUCCUGCUUCUCAUGAGUACUGAGAAUGUGCGUAUAUGAACUUAUCGGCCUACUUUACUUAGUUGCAAGCAUAGCAUGCCAGUACUUUUAGAACAAUCUUAUUAGUUGUCCUGGUCCGUUGAAAAGUAUGUUUUGUUUUCCAUGAGGUGAUAUUUGCCAUAAUAAUCUGGAAAUAGACGAGCGUGGAGAAGGACUAGAAGGGCACAAAGGAGGACCGGCGGUACAGUGGAUUGAACAUUAUUUUCGGUGAUUAUUUGUCAGGAACGGUCACUUGACUGAUUGCAGUAAAGAUACAGAUAGACUGACAUUUCUUCAUAAAUGUUGUCUUGAAGUUAUGUACUCCCUCCUUCCCAAAAUCUUAGGCGCUUAACCUUUUUUGUAAAAUCCCACAAUAUUAGGCGCAUAAG
rnacentral:lncRNA from 1 species